GUUCUUAUUCGCUGACAUUUGUUUUCUAAUUGCUUGAAAUUUGGUAAUUUCCUUAGUGUUUUCCUGGCCGACCUGUGCUGGUAUUGUAAUUAAGAGCUAAUACACCAUUCUCUGGUGAACUGCAGCUGCGGCCGAAUUUGAUUGUGUGCAUCAUCCUGCAGAUAUUUUGAAGUAAGUUGGAACCAGCUCUUUGUUAUUUCAAAACCUAAUGAACC